rnacentral:rRNA from 1 species
AGCGAACGCUGGCGGCAGGCCUAAUACAUGCAAGUCGAGCGCGCCUUCGGGUGAGCGGCGGACGGGUGAGUAACGCGUGGGAACGUGCCCUUUGGUACGGGAUAACUGAGGGAAACUUCAGCUAAUACCGUAUGUGCCCUACGGGGGAAAGAUUUAUCGCCAUUGGAGCGGCCCGCGUUGGAUUAGCUAGUUGGUGGGGUAAAGGCUCACCAAGGCUACGAUCCAUAGCUGGUCUGAGAGGAUGAUCAGCCACACUGGGACUGAGACACGGCCCAGACUCCUACGGGAGGCAGCAGUAGGGAAUCUUGCGCAAUGGGCGAAAGCCUGACGCAGCCAUGCCGCGUGAAUGAUGAAGGUCUUAGGAUUGUAAAAUUCUUUCACCGGGGAAGAUAAUGACGGUACCCGGAGAAGAAGCCCCGGCUAACUUCGUGCCAGCCGCCGCUGUAAAAC